rnacentral:rRNA from 1 species
GGGGGAUAUUGCGCAAUGGGGGCAACCCUGACGCAGCAACGCCGCGUGAAGGAUGAAGGUUUUCGGAUUGUAAACUUCUUUUAUUAAGGACGAAACUUGACGGUACUUAAUGAAUAAGCUCCGGCUAACUACGUGCCAGCAGCCGCGGUAAUACGUAGGGAGCAAGCGUUGUCCGGAUUUACUGGGUGUAAAGGGUGCGUAGGCGGCUUUGCAAGUCAGAUGUGAAAUCUAUGGGCUCAACCCAUAAACUGCAUUUGAAACUGUAGAGCUUGAGUGAAGUAGAGGCAGGCGGAAUUCCCGGUGUAGCGGUGAAAUGCGUAGAGAUCGGGAGGAACACCAGUGGCGAAGGCGGCCUACUGGGCUUUAACUGACGCUGAGGCACGAAAGUGUGGGUAGCAAACAGGAUUAGAUACCCUGGUAGUCCACACUGUAAACGAUGAUUACUAGGUGUUGGAGGAUUGACCCCUUCAGUGCCGCAGUUAACACAAUAAGUAAUCCACCUGGGGAGUACGACCGCAAGGUUGAAACUCAAAGGAAUUGACGGGGGCCCGCACAAGCAGUGGAGUAUGUGGUUUAAUUCGACGCAACGCGAAGAACCUUACCAAGUCUUGACAUCCCUUGACAGACAUAGAAAUAUGUAAUCUCUUCGGAGCAAGGAGACAGGUGGUGCAUGGUUGUCGUCAGCUCGUGUCGUGAGAUGUUGGGUUAAGUCCCGCAACGAGCGCAACCCUUAUGGUCAGUUACUACGCAAGAGGACUCUGGCCAGACUGCCGUUGACAAAACGGAGGAAGGUGGGGAUGACGUCAAAUCAUCAUGCCCUUUAUGACUUGGGCUACACACGUACUACAAUGGCGUUAAACAAAGAGAAGCAAGACCGCGAGGUGGAGCAAAACUCAGAAACAACGUCCCAGUUCGGACUACAGGCUGCAACUCGCCUGCACGAAAUCGGAAUUGCUAGUAAUCGUGGAUCAGCAUGCCACGGUGAAUACGUUCCCG